CUAAGGUAUAUGAGCUGAUAACCAAGAUUGAGUGAAUCAAUCAGAGUACGCGAAACGCAUUAUCCGAAGUUGAGAAUUAAUAAUUUAAGUUGUUCAAU